rnacentral:lncRNA from 1 species
UUCAGAUUUAAAUAGACAGGAUAAUGUCAAAAGUUACAAGAAUAGGUAUUUAAACGAUUCCAUGGAUGAAAAGGAUGCACUUACCAUAAUCAGACUUCCAGCUGAAAACAACAAACAAUCUCCAUCACCUUUAUUUGUUAAUCAUAACAAAAGUAUAAAACAUCACAUUAUAACAACUAAUUAUCAUCAAAAGGAUGAAGAUAUACCUAACAUAGCAUCCUGUGUGGUUCCUCUAUCCGACGAAUCGUUGAAGGGUAAGUUUAUUCAUGCGUACAUAUAGCUGUGCUUACGUACACAUAUGUCAAUAUAAAUA